rnacentral:lncRNA from 1 species
CGCCUUCAGUGACAGUGCGGACAGGAACCCUGUAAAACGCAUGCACACAUGAACACACAGAGAUCAGAGGCCGAAGCCUGAAGUUCUCGCAUGAUGGAUCUGCAGACAGUCAUUUGUGUUUUUGCUGCAUUUCUCCCGGUGACUUUUGCUUCGCGACCUGUGAUGACGUCCCUGAAAGGCGUCGCCGUCCUGCCCUGCACUGGGACUCCCUACAACAGCUCUAGCACUGACCAGCCAGUUGUCAGGUGGACCACGUCCAUUGGCCAGCUGGUUGCCAAGGUGUUCCAGGAGAAGCUCACAGUGGGAAUGGGGUACGAGAGCAGAGUGUGGCUCUCCAAGGAAGGCAUGGAGAAGGGAGACUACUCUCUCACCAUCUCCCCCAUUGUGUACAAUGACAAUGGUGUGUACCACUGCAGAAGAUGGGCUCAGCCUCUUCAUGAAGUCAUACUAGAGGUGUUUGACAGGGAAAUGACCGCACUGGUUGGGGACCCGGUCACUCUCCCCUGCUAUGCCAAUGUCAAGAAACAGGCAAAUUAUAGCCACGUUACUCUCCACUGGGAAAAAGAUGGAGAGGAUGUGCUGCGCUUGCAGUAUGGCUUAUUGUCUUUGGGCUCCGGGUUCGAGAACAGGGUCAGUGUGUCUCCAGACUGGGUCCUCCAGGGUGACCUGUCACUGGCCUUCAGCAGGACACAUUUGUCAGACACAGGACCUUAUCAAUGCUUCUUCAGCAAGGACAAAGGGACACCGGAUGGGAUCAUCCUCACUGUUGAAGCCCGUCAGUCCAACGAAACCAUCCAGUCCUCUGAGGAACUCCUUCUGUCACUCUACAGUACAGAACCAGUCCACGUUCUGUUCACUUCAGACGGGGGUUCCACCAGAAUGUCUGUGUGUACAGUGGAGGGAGGCUCCCUAGACUGCAGCCCUCAGUACCAACCUAGAACAUCCGUCCAGAACUCAACGCUCACUCUAAAAUAUACCACCCCACAUGACAGUGGUGUCUACAGAGUCAUGGACCAGAGGACGAACAAAACCAUCCACACUGUGUUCGUCACUGUUACUGGUUUUCGUCCUUUAGUGGUCAUCAUGGUGCUCAUCCUGGGCCUGGGGCUUUUCGUUCAGCAGAUGACCAUGUUUACAUGGCUGGUGAUACGAUGGUGCAGGACAGCAAAGACGCUGGAAGAUGAGAAGAAGAAAAGGCACAUUUUUAGACUGAUGCUGCUGCUGCUGGUGCUACUGGUGGUGUUGAUGCUGCUAGGGUUUUCAACUUGGAUGAUUUUAACACCUAAGCAGAAAGGAUUGAAUUUCAUGCUGGGCCUGUGGCUGGGGCUCUUUAUGCUUCUGCCGACAAUGUUAAUUCUGAUGAUGGUGCGAUGGCGCAGUCGAGAGAUGACGUUAGUAGGUAAACUGAAGGAGAUGCUGCUGGUGCUGUUGGUGCUGCUGGUGCUGGUGCUACUGGUGUUGCUGGGGAUUUCAGUCUGGAUAAUAGAAACACCAGGGCAUCACAGGCUCGGUUUGAUGCUUGUCCUGCUGUUGGGGAUGUUCAUGCUGCUGCCGACAGUGGUAACAGUGGUGAUGAUAUGGAAAGCCACAAUGCUAUACUCAGGCCAAGAUAAGAGAAUUAAGCAUAGGCUACUGGUGGUGCUCAUGUUGGUGGUGCCACUUGAGCUGCUGGGGUUGAUACUCUCGGUUGUGAUGAUGGUAAUGGCAGUACAGGGCAGGCUGAGUUCGGAGUUGGGACUAGGGCUGGGCAUGGGGCUAACACUGGGAGUGGGCUUGAUCCUGGUAGUCCUGCUCUGCCUGUUAUACAAUCGGUCGAGGUCAAAUAACUUGGGAUCUCGAGACUCCACAGAUCAUACUUCUUUCAGUUUCAGUACAACAAAUGUUGACAGCUCUCAUAGGUCAGGUAUGGAGACCAUACCACUGAACAGACUUGGAGGCAACCACCACCAAGAGCACUCCACCAUCUGGUCCCGAUAUGAAGGGGUCGAAGAUGUGGACCAUCACAAUCCUUCUGUCAAUCCUGCACAAAGUGUCCACAUAUUACCGGUGCAUAAUGGAAUGGAUGGCUCUCUCUGAUGACAUCUUCUAAGUCUUCCAGGAGUCCCCAUUGAUCAUCAGAGUUAAACCAAAACACGAUAAUGGUCUGAUCUGCUGCUUGCAGACAGCUCCGUUAACUAAGUUCCCAAGUGAAAAGAACACACUUGGGAAAGCUGCUGUUAUCCCAGUUCCACCACCAGAAACAAAGAGUGUUUCUUAUGGACUAUGUCCCUUCUGUCUCCAUCCUUUGCUGUAGAAAUAGUCAUCAUCCUGGGAGCUGCAGACACCUUUGGAAGACUAACUGACAAAACUAGAAAAUAAAAUAUUGUGUUUCAUCUUGCA